rnacentral:lncRNA from 1 species
CAACCGCUUGAGCUAGAGUAGUGGGUUGUUGGUGAUUGAUUAUAGAGCUAGCUGUCCAUACAGUUAUAAUCGAAUGCCAACUCAGAAUAAUCUGCUCUCAUAGCUUCUGCACUAAUUAGAUCAAUAAAACACCGACGAUGUACACCUCAUCCAAUUGUCGACCUCUUAUGAUCAACUACCAACCGAUGACAUCAAUGCUGUGCAGAACAUA